AGCGUUCCUUCCUGACUGAUCUUGUUCUCUGACCUUGCCUUGACUCGCCUCAUGGAUUUUGCCCUUCCUGCCUGCACCUUGUCUGACGGAUUGGAUUUCUGGAUUUUGACUCUGUUUUCUGCUUCUGGUUUUCUGCCUCUGCCUGCCCCUUGUCUGAUGCCUCUAGCCCUGGAAUUCAACCCUGUUUCUGUCCCUGGAUUUAUGCCUCAGCCUAACCACUGGUUUAUUCAGCCUGACCCCGCCUGGCUCUCAAGUCUGCCUGGAAUUAUUGUCAAGAGGACAAUCACAGCUCUCUGUGUUUCUAUCACAGUUUCAGUUAAUUCCCUGGAGGAUUUGGAUCAGUCGGCAAUCCGAUUUCAGUCUGCUGGACGCUUCCUCAUUAACUGUCUGGAUCACUUCCUCUUCUGGAUUCUGUGCCUCAUCCCUAGACUGAGAAGUGGUUCCUGGAAGCUGACUGCUGUUCUCCUGCUUUCUGAUCCUGAGUUACUGAAUAAACCUUUUACUUAUCACUUUGUGUUUGGCUGAAUUUGGGUUCUCUGUCUCUGGUCGUGAUAGUAAAAUCUGGCCAAAAGAUGGACCCAUUGCCAGCACAGCAGUGGCGCACAAUGUUGAUCACUCUAUUGCCCGUCUAGAUUCUGGCAUGAGGAAAAUUAUUUCUAUGCUGUGCUCCAUGACUCCUGCUUCCAGACCAGCGCCCUCACAGCCAGUUUCCCCCAGAGUUCCUGAUCUUUCCGCUGUGGUAAGAGAGCCUAGACUCACGCCUCCUGAACUGUUUAAGGGAGAUCCGGACCAGUGCCAUGCUUUUGUUACUCAAUGUGAGAUUCAUUUUGAGCUUCAGCCUUCUUCGUUCCCUUCUGAACGCUCUAAGGUGGCGUUUGUCAUUUCCCUGAUCUCUGGAAAGACUAAGCAAUGGGGCACUGCUGAGUGGCAGAAUGGUUCGGUCACAUGUGCUUCUUAUGCUGCAUUCUCCAAGGAGCUUAUCAGGGUUUUUGACACAGUUCUUUCCAGUUGUGAAGCUGCCAGAGGUUUACUCUCCAUAAAACAGGGAGAGCGAAGCAUCACAUCAGAUAUCAUUGACUUUCAUUUGUUGGCAGCUGACAGUUUUUGGAAUGAGCAUGCUCAAAUGGAUGCUUUCAUGCAAGGUCUUAAUUAGAACAUCAAGGAUGAACUGGCUACCUGGGACUACCCUGCCUCCCUUCACCAACUUGAGGACCUGGCAACCCGCAUUGAUUUACGGCUCACAGAAAGGAGGAGGGAGAGGCGUCAUAGAGAGGUUAAACCCUCCUCAGAUCACAGUCCUGUUCCCCACCUUGAACCCAAGGGUCUUCCACCCCCUUCUGAUCACCGUUAUGACCAUGAGCCCAUGCAGUUGGGUCGUUCAAAGAUUUCUGCGGAGGAGUGCGAUCGACGUAGGAAGAACAACUUGUGUUUUUAUUGUGGUGGACAGGGUCAUGUUGCCUUCAGGUGUCCGUUAAAAGCCCAGGCUCAGUAGAGGUGAGGAGAACUCUACUGAGCCGAAGUCAACUGUCCGUCUCCUCAUGCUCAUUUCCUGCAACCAUUCAAGUAUCUUCUACUUCUCAUCAGGUGUUAGUGUUCAUUGACUCAGAGGUGGACACAGAAUUUAUGGAUGAGUCAUUCGCCAGGGACCAUGACAUCAAGCUUCUUCCCACGUCUGACUCCUGUAAUGUUCUGGCUUUGGGUGGUCAUAGUAUCAACAGUUCACACUACAAAACAGAGGUAAUCAAACUCACACUGGGGAGCACCCAUUUGGAUGAAGUGACUUUCAGGAUCAUCAACUCGCCUACACUACCAUUUGUUUUAGGAGCCUCCUAGUUACAAAAGCACAACCCCCCACAUUGACUGGCAAGCCAAAGAGAUUUUGGGCUGGGCUAAGUCCUGCUCGGCCACGUGUUUGUCUUCUGCCACCGCAGAUAAUAUUCUGGAAAAUUACAUUGAGGAGACAUAGCCCGAUUUGUCUAAGGUGCCUCCCGAAUAUCAUGCUUUUAAGGAGGUUUUCAACAAGUCCAGAGCCACGGCACUUCCACCUCACAGACCCUAUGACUGUGCCAUUGAGCUCCUACCUGGCACAUCUCCCCCUAGGGGUCGAUUGUAUUCAUUGUCUGGACCAGAGAACCAAGCCAUGAGGAAGUACGUUGAUGAAUCACUAAUGGCUGGUAUAAUCAGACCUUCUUCUUCAGCAGGGGCAGGCUUCUUCUUUGUGGGGAAGAAGGAUGGUUCCUUGAGACCAUGCAUCGACUACAGGGGACUAAAUGACAUCACCAUCAAGAAUCGAUACCUUCUACCACUCAUGAACACUGCUUUUGACCAGAUUCAAGGGGCCAAGAUUUUCUCUAAGCUAGACUUAAGAAACACGUACCACCUUGUCCGCAUCAAGGAGGGGGACGAAUGGAAGACAGCAUUUAACACACCCACUGGUCACUAUGAGUACUGUGCAAUGCCUUUUGGUUUAACCAAUGCUCCUGCAGUUUUUCAGGCAUUGGUGACUGAUGUCCUGAGGGACAUGGUUGGACAGUUUGUUUUUGUUUACCUUGACGACAUUCUGAUUUAUUCCCAGGAUCUGGAAACUCACAGAAGUCAUGUUUGGGCCGUUCUCCUCCGUCUUCUUCAAAAUCAUCUGUUUGUCAAAGCUGAAAAGUGUGAGUUACACACCACCACCACUUCAUUCCUAGGAUUCAUCAUCUCUCCAGACCAAGUCAUGGUGGACCCCUCCAAAGUCAAGGCGGUCUUGGAAUGGCCUUCUCCUACCAAUCGCAAACAACUUUAAAGGUUUCUGGGGUUUGCUAAUUUUUACAGACAUUUCAUCAGAAAUUAUAGCCUUGUAGCAGCCCCUCUCAAUGCUCUCACUUAGUCUAAGACCAAUUUUGUAUGGAACGAAAUGGCCAAAAGAGCUUUUGUCAAGCUCAAAGGUUUAUUUACAUUUGCUCCUGUUCUAUGGUCCCCUAACCCUGAUAAACAGUUCAUAGUGGAGGUUGACACCUCAAACACUGGGGUUGGAGCAGUCCUAAGCCAAAGAAGUUCUGAUGAUCUUAUUCACCCAUGUGCCUUCUUUUCUAGGACUUUGUCCCAAGCAGAGCGCAAUUACGAUGUGGGGGACCGAGAACCGUUGGCAGUCAAGUUGGCUCUCGAGAAGUGGAGGCAUUGGCUAGAGGGGGCUAAGGAACCGUUUCUUGUUUAGACAGAUCAUAAGAACUUGGAAUAACUGAGAUCUGCAAAGCGCCUUAAUCCCAGGCAGGCAAGGUGGGCUUUAUUUUUUGGAAGAUUCAAUUUCUCUGUCUUUCAGGCCUGGAGUCAAAAAUGGCAAAGCGGACGCCCUGUCCAGAAUACAGGAACCCUCCGAGUCACAGGCCUCUGGGGAGGAUGAAUUUAUUCUCCUGGAAUCAGUGAGACUCUCUGUCACCAUGUUGGAAUUGGAAGGAGAGAUUAGAGAUGCCACCAAAGACCUUCCUAUCCCAACUUCAUGCCCACCUGACCGGUGUUUCGUCCCGGAGCGCCUCAUACCCAAGUUUCAGCUGACUUCUCGGAGGAUUUGGAUCAGUCGGCAAUCCGAUUUCAGUCUGUUGGACGCUUCCUCAUUAACUGUCUGGAUCACUUCCUCCUCUGGAUUCUGUGCCUCAUCCCCAGACUGAGAAGUGGUUCCUGGAAGCUGACUGCUG